CCAACAGGGAUUGCCCCAGUAACGGCGAGUGAAGCGGCAAGAGCUCAAAUUUGAAAUCUGGCCCCCCCGGGGCCCGAGUUGUAAUUUGCAGAGGAUGCUUCGGGUCCGGCCCCGGUCUAAGUCCCCUGGAACGGGGCGUCACGGAGGGUGAGAAUCCCGUCUGGGAUCGCCGGCCGGGCCCGUGUGAAGCUCCUUCGACGAGUCGAGUUGUUUGGGAAUGCAGCUCCAAGUGGGUGGUAAAUUUCAUCUAAAGCUAAAUACUGGCCGGAGACCGAUAGCGCACAAGUAGAGUGAUCGAAAGAUGAAAAGCACUUUGAAAAGAGAGUUAAACAGCAUGUGAAAUUGUUGAAAGGGAAGCGCUUGCGACCAGACUCGCCCGCGGGGGCUCAGCCGGCAUUCUUGCCGGUGCACUCCCCCGCGGUCGGGCCAGCGUCGGUUUGGGCGGUCGGUCAAAGGCCCCCGGAAUGUGUCGCCUCUCGGGGCGUCUUAUAGCCGGGGGUGCAAUGCGGCCUGCCUGGACCGAGGAACGCGCUUCGGCACGGACGCUGGCGUAAUGGUCGUAAGCGGCCCGUCUUGAAACACGGACCAAGGAGUCUAACAUCUACGCGAGUGUUCGGGUGUCAAACCCGUCCGCGCAGUGAAAGCGAACGGAGGUGGGAGCCCUGAAGGGUGCACCAUCGACCGAUCCUGAAGUCUUCGG
rnacentral:rRNA from 1 species